AUGAGAUGGCUGGAUGGCAUCACUGACUCGAUGGACGUGAGUCUGAGUGAACUCCGGGGGUUGGUGAUGGACAGGGAGGCCUGGUGUGCUGCGAUUCAUGGGGUCACAAAGAGUCGGACACGACUGAGUGACUGAACUGAACUGAACUGAACUGACACAGAGCUCAGAGAUCCCAUAUCAGUAGUAUGUAAAUGUAGCAGGAAAACAGGCUGCAGGCUCUGGAAUUCAGACUUGUCUGGACAUGCCUGGUGUACUGGUCGUACUGAGAAAAUGAUGUUUGAACAAAGACCUGAGGAGGAGAAAAGCGUCAGUCAUAUGGAUGUUUGGGAGGGGACCAUUCAGGAAGCAAGAAAAGGCAUCCCCAAAGCCCUCAGAUGGAAAGAUGCCAGAGUGGUUUGAGAGAGGUGAAGAUUAGAAGAUGAGAAAAAGUCUGCCGACUCCUUAGGAAACUCUAGGCUGAAAACUUUAAGGUAUUUAAAAAUGUUACCUGGGUAAGCUCUUCCUGACGAGAAGCUGGGUGUGGAAUGAGCCUACCAGGGCACUUUCGGUCCCUGGUCAGGAGAUGUAGUACUGCCCAGGCUCGUCAGACACAGGAAGUCAGAAUCCACUAAGGAAAGUGUAAAAGCCCACCUCCGAAGAAUCCAGCCUGGGAAUGGCCAGGCACGAGGGACCAAACACAACUGGCUCUUCCUGGCGAAGGAUAAAUGCUCCAAAGGAUAAACGAUGCUCACUCCAGCCCUCCGCGGAGCGCAGAGGAGACGGGGUCGAACUGGGAAAGCAGCGUUGUCACUCACGCAGAAGCCAACGGCGCGCCCUGCGGCGUUCUCUCUUCUCUCUCUGCAGUAGGCAGCCGCGCGGACUGCGAGGUCCCGGUGCACAUCUGUAACUUUUGGACAAGCGCCGCGUGGGUGCGGCUGCCACCCGGCGCCUGCGCAGUGGCUGCUCGCAGGAUCCUCCCAUCGCGCAGACUCGGCGGGUCAACACGCCCUGGAGGAGUGCGACCCUGCUUCGGUAGCCCAUGGGGGAGGAAGCAGGGCGGAACGAUGUGUACGGUGUUUUUUUGCUGCAUAGUUUGACAGUUGUGAAUACUAUAUCCCUUCACCCUUCAAUAUUACGGAUAUUUGAACUGAACAGAAGACAGUUUCAUUUAAUUCAGCCUAAUAUCUCGGGUGUGUGUGUGUGUCUUAGUUGCGUAGUCGCUCAGACGUGACAAAUUGUUUGCAAGCCAGUAGACUGUAGCCCGCCAGGCUCCUCUGUCCAUGGAAUUCUCCCGGCAAGAAUACUAGAGUGGGUAGCCCUUCCCUUCUCCAGAGGAUCUUCUGGACCCAAGGAUCAAACCUGGGUUUCCUGCAUUGCAACCAGAUUCUUUCCCGGCUGAGCCACCAGGGAAGCCCAAUAUCUCAGUACUAUCCCUUAAGAAUAAGGGAUUCUCCU
ensembl:lncRNA